AUUGAACGCUGGCGGCAGGCUUAACACAUGCAAGUCGAGCGGAGAGAGGUAGCUUGCUACUGAUCUUAGCGGCGGACGGGUGAGUAAUGCUUAGGAAUCUGCCUAUUAGUGGGGGACAACAUUUCGAAAGGAAUGCUAAUACCGCAUACGUCCUACGGGAGAAAGCAGGGGAUCUUCGGACCUUGCGCUAAUAGAUGAGCCUAAGUCGGAUUAGCUAGUUGGUGGGGUAAAGGCCUACCAAGGCGACGAUCUGUAGCGGGUCUGAGAGGAUGAUCCGCCACACUGGGACUGAGACACGGCCCAGACUCCUACGGGAGGCAGCAGUGGGGAAUAUUGGACAAUGGGCGGAAGCCUGAUCCAGCCAUGCCGCGUGUGUGAAGAAGGCCUUAUGGUUGUAAAGCACUUUAAGCGAGGAGGAGGCUACUUUAGUUAAUACCUAGAGAUAGUGGACGUUACUCGCAGAAUAAGCACCGGCUAACUCUGUGCCAGCCGCCGCAGUAACAC
rnacentral:rRNA from 1 species